rnacentral:rRNA from 1 species
UAGGGAAUAUUGGGCAAUGGGCGAGAGCCUGACCCAGCCAUGCCGCGUGUAGGAAGAAGGCUUUCUGAGUUGUAAACUACUUUUGAUCGGGAACAAAAGAUCCUUGCGAGGAGCAUUGAGUGUACCGAUAGAAUAAGCACCGGCUAACUCCGUGCCAGCAGCCGCGGUAAUACGGAGGGUGCAAGCGUUGUCCGGAUUUAUUGGGUUUAAAGGGUGCGUAGGCGGCUAAUUAAGUCAGCGGUGAAAUUCCAGAGCUCAACUCUGCGAACUGCCAUUGAUACUGGUUAGCUUGAGUACAGAUGAGGUAGGCGGAAUUGACAGUGUAGCGGUGAAAUGCUUAGAUAUUGUCAAGAACACCUAUUGCGAAGGCAGCUUACUAAACUGUAACUGACGCUGAGGCACGAAAGCGUGGGGAUCAAACAGGAUUAGAUACCCUGGUAGUCCACGCCGUAAACGAUGAUUACUCGAUGUGUGCGAUAGACAGUACGCGUCCAAGCGAAAGCGUUAAGUAAUCCACCUGGGGAGUACGCCCGCAAGAGUGA